rnacentral:rRNA from 1 species
ACGCUCGACACCUACGGAGGCAGCAGUGAGGAAUAUUGGUCAAUGGACGCAAGUCUGAACCAGCCAUGCCGCGUGCAGGAUGACGGCUCUAUGAGUUGUAAACUGCUUUUGUACGAGGGUAAACGCAGAUACGUGUAUCUGUCUGAAAGUAUCGUACGAAUAAGGAUCGGCUAACUCCGUGGCAGCAGCCGCGGUAAUCUGAGCGGGCUGGCAAGGC